CCGAACUAAAGGACAAAAAGACCCUUUGAAGCUUUAUAGGGAUAAAACUUGGGUAACAUCUUGAUCUAAAUAGUCUUAUUGCAUACCAGCUAAAGUAGUACCACUACGUACAGAUUCCUGAUCUCUCCUAAGACC
rnacentral:rRNA from 1 species